rnacentral:rRNA from 1 species
UACGUAGGCAGCAGGCGUUGUUCGGAGUUACUGGGCGUAAAGGGUGUGUAGGCGGUUCUUUAAGUUUGCUGUGAAAUCUCCCGGCUUAACCGGGAGGGUGCGGUGAAUACUGAGGGACUAGAGUACGGGAGAGGAAAGUGGAAUUCCUGGUGUAGCGGUGAAAUGCGUAGAUAUCAGGAGGAACACCGGUGGUGUAGACGGCUUUCUGGACCGUAACUGACGCUGAGACACGAAAGCGUGGGUAGCAAACAGG